rnacentral:rRNA from 1 species
UACAGAGGGUGCAAACGUUGUUCGGAAUUACUGGGCGUAAAGCGCGUGUAGGCGGCCCUGCAAGUCGGAUGUGAAAGCCCUCGGCUUAACUGAGGAAGUGCAUCCGAAACUGAGUAGCUAGAGUACGAAAGAGGGUCGCGGAAUUCCCGGUGUAGAGGUGAAAUUCGUAGAUAUCGGGAGGAACACCGGUGGCGAAGGCGGCUUCCUGGACCGACACUGACGCUGAGGCGCGAAAGCUAGGGGAGCAAACGGG